rnacentral:rRNA from 1 species
CAACGCCGCGUGAGUGAUGAAGGCCUUCGGGUCGUAAAGCUCUGUUGUUAGGGAAGAACAAGUAUCGGAGUAACUGCCGGUACCUUGACGGUACCUAACCAGAAAGCCACGGCUAACUACGUGCCAGCAGCCGCGGUAAUACGUAGGUGGCAAGCGUUGUCCGGAAUUAUUGGGCGUAAAGCGCGCGCAGGCGGUCCUUUAAGUCUGAUGUGAAAGCCCACGGCUCAACCGUGGAGGGUCAUUGGAAACUGGGGGACUUGAGUGCAGAAGAGGAAAGCGGAAUUCCACGUGUAGCGGUGAAAUGCGUAGAGAUGUGGAGGAACACCAGUGGCGAAGGCGGCUUUCUGGUCUGUAACUGACGCUGAGGCGCGAAAGCGUGGGGAGCAAACAGGAUUAGAUACCCUGGUAGUCCACGCCGUAAACGAUGAGUGCUAAGUGUUAGAGGGUUUCCGCCCUUUAGUGCUGCAGCUAACGCAUUAAGCACUCCGCCUGGGGAGUACGGCCGCAAGGCUG